ensembl:misc_RNA Metazoa_SRP Metazoan signal recognition particle RNA
GCUGGGUGUGAUGGCUCACGCCUGUAAUCCCAGCACUUUGGGAUGCCGAGGCGGGUGGAUUACCUGAGGUCAGGAGUUCGAGACCAGCCUGACCAACAUGGUGAAACCCCGUCUCUA